GAUGAAGAACGUAGCGAAAUGCGAUAAGUAAUGUGAAUUGCAGAAUUCAGUGAAUCAUCGAAUCUUUGAACGCACAUUGCGCCCCUUGGUAUUCCGGGGGGCAUGCCUGUACGAGCGUCAUUAUAACCCCUCAAGCUCAGCUUGGUGUUGGGGCCUGCCGACUGGCAGCCCUUAAAAUCAGUGGCGGCGCCAUCUGGCUCUAAGCGUAGUAAUUUCUCUCGCUAUAGAGUCCCGGUGGAUGCUUGCCAGCAACCCCCAACUUUCUAUGGUUGACCUCGGAUCAGGUAGGGAUACCCGCUGAACUUAAGCAUAUCAAUAAGCGGAGGA
rnacentral:misc_RNA from 1 species